ACUCCUACGGGAGGCAGCAGUAGGGAAUCUUCGGCAAUGGGGGCAACCCUGACCGAGCAACGCCGCGUGAGUGAAGAAGGUUUUCGGAUCGUAAAGCUCUGUUGUAAGAGAAGAACGUGUGUGAGAGUGGAAAGUUCACACAGUGACGGUAUCUUACCAGAAAGGGACGGCUAACUACGUGCCAGCAGCCGCGGUAAUACGUAGGUCCCGAGCGUUGUCCGGAUUUAUUGGGCGUAAAGCGAGCGCAGGCGGUUUGAUAAGUCUGAAGUUAAAGGCUGUGGCUCAACCAUAGUUCGCUUUGGAAACUGUCAAACUUGAGUGCAGAAGGGGAGAGUGGAAUUCCAUGUGUAGCGGUGAAAUGCGUAGAUAUAUGGAGGAACACCGGUGGCGAAAGCGGCUCUCUGGUCUGUAACUGACGCUGAGGCUCGAAAGCGUGGGGAGCGAACAGGAUUAGAUACCCAUGUAGUCC
rnacentral:rRNA from 1 species